GGGGAAAACCGAAUAGGUGAGGAGGAAAAAGAAAUGGAAAGGUGGGGGAGGAUAGUUGUGGAAUUUGGCCACAAGGAGAGAGGAAGGUUCAACCAAAAGGGAAGAAAGAAUCGGGUUGGGAAGGAAGGAUGAGAGAAGAAGCACAACCAAAUGAAGAGGAGAGGAGAUUUCGACAGCAGAAGAAAAGAAGAGUGGGGAGAGUUUUGGCCAAAUUAAAAAAAAAGAAAAAGAUAAGAUGAGCAGA
rnacentral:lncRNA from 1 species